GUGGCCCCAAGUCAAGCGAGGCCACCCGCCGAGUUUAA
rnacentral:rRNA from 1 species